UGGCCUCAAAAUGAACCGACUUCUCUGGAACAACAGUGCCCAGCAGUGCCAGCACUGCUGAAAAUGCCCCUUAGAUAUCAGCCUUGCCAGGAUUGAGCCCCACUUUUCUACAGCACUGGGAUAGUCUCAUCUGGACCCAGGCCAUCUGACUUGCUACGUUAGGAGAGCAGCAAAAACCCUUUAAGAAGCUGUGGAAGUAAAAGGCCGGGUCAUUUUUGACCAGACUUCGCCAGCUGGAGUCCAGAUCGGGAUGUGGAAUAAGAAGGGUGAGGGAGAGUAGCUGAUAUUUCUUCUGGAGGAAGCACCCUGUGGUAUGAAGCAAUCCCCCUCCUGGACCUGGCAGCUGGAGGCGGCGGUCAGGAGUGUACCUGGCUGCCAAGCGCGGGAUGCCUGGCCCCGCAGCUCUGUGGCUGGUGGUGGAUGCGCUCCUGAGGCCCCUGUAUAGACGCCCCGCCCCAGCCCUGGUGAGGUAAAGCACCUAGCAUCACGUCAUUAGAAUGAACACUGCAGCAUGGAGAAUAGAUUGAAGAUGUCAAGACAAAAGGCAGGAAGAGCAGGAAAGGAGCAGUAAUGAGGCAAGAAAUGGGGGACGCCUGCAUUAGGGCCGAGAGAAGAGA